UCCUCUGCAUUUGGCUGGGACGGCA
rnacentral:miRNA from 1 species